UAACGUAACAGAUACUGUAUCAACUUGC
rnacentral:piRNA from 1 species